rnacentral:rRNA from 2 species
GGACUACCGGGGUAUCUAAUCCUGUUUGAUCCCCACGCUUUCGUGCCUGAGUGUCAAUAUUCGUGUAGCCAGCUGCCUUCGCAAUUGGUGUUCUAUGUCAUAUCUAAGCAUUUCACCGCUACAUGACAUAUUCCGCUGACCUCCACGGUAUUCAAGACUAAUAGUAUCAAUGGCAGUUUCCGGGUUAAGCCCGGAGAUUUCACCACUGACUUACUAAUCCACCUACGCACCCUUUAAACCCAGUGAAUCCGGAUAACGCUUGCACCCUCCGUAUUACCGCGGCGGCUGGCAC